UUAUCUCAGAAAAUGGGGAAAAGAGGCAGUAUGCCUCUUGACCCGUGAAGAAAAAUAAAAAGAGGGAAGAAUGAGGAUUUUUCAUUUCUCUUUACGAAAAUCCUUGAUCUACGAAGAUCCAAUGGUUCGAUCUUCAAUCCGACUUCGGUAACGUGAUCUACGAAGCCUGAUCUACGUUUCUACCGAUCGGUUUGAGAUUUUGGGUAGUUUGGAGUUGCUAGAAGCUUCCCGAGCAUUUGGUCUUUGCUUGGCGAAUUUUUGUGAUACAUUGCAAGGUGAUGUCUAGGAGACCUAGUGCUUAAUAUCCGCGCAGCCAGAUGAUGUCCAUUUGACUGCAGGUACACUUGACUUAGAGGGGACCCCGUAGCUGUGUAUUUGGGAUAUUACGAUUGAAGCACACCGCGACAGUCGUAUUGAGUUGGACUAUGGAGUUCACUCUUUUGGAGUAUUUUGUAUAUGGCUCUUUUGUAUGGACCACAUGUAUAUUUAGAUGUGCUUUCCGUUAUGAGAUGUAACGUUAUGAUUAUUCCGCUGUUAGAUAUUACUCUGAAUAUCAGGUACAUGAUAUGGAGCA